rnacentral:rRNA from 1 species
AACGAACGCUGGCGGCAUGCCUAACACAUGCAAGUCGAACGAGACCUUCGGGUCUAGUGGCGCACGGGUGCGUAACGCGUGGGAACCUGCCCUUAGGUUCGGAAUAACUCCCCGAAAGGGGUGCUAAUACCGGAUAAUGUCUUCGGACCAAAGAUUUAUCGCCUUUGGAUGGGCCCGCGUUGGAUUAGCUAGUUGGUAGGGUAAAAGCCUACCAAGGCGACGAUCCAUAGCUGGUCUGAGAGGAUGAUCAGCCACACUGGGACUGAGACACGGCCCAGACUCCUACGCGAGGCAGCAGUGGGGAAUAUUGGAAAAUGGGCGAAGGCCUGAUCCAGCAAUGCCGCGUGAGUGAUGAAGGCCUUAGGGUUGUAAAGCUCUUUUACCCGGGAUGAUAAUGACAGUACCGGGAGAAUAAGCUCCGGCUAACUCCGUG